UUCAAUUUAUGUCUGCUUUAGGAAUAUUCAUCAAGUCUUUAGUCUUUUAUAACAAUUAGACCACUUACUAUGAUUUACUUUAACAAAAUAACAACAUUCAAUUAAUGAUACUGUUUAAAAAUUGCCCCAUUCAAAUUGAUUAUCUUCAUAUACAUAUAUGUAUAUACGCUCUGAUUUUAUAAUUAGCCUAAAUGUCUUAU